UAAUAAUAAUAAGAUUUGAACUUAAGACUCUACCCAUAUUAUAUUGAUUAUCACUAAUAAGUCAAUUAUAAUAUUCUUACAAUCUUAGUGGUUUUAAAGAUAUUUUUAAAAAGAAUAAUAUAAAUCAGUGACAAAUUAAUACUUUUAAUUAAUUAAAUUUCUAGAAACAAAAAAUAUUUAAUGUAAUUUUUUUUUAAACUCAAUAGUUAAAUUUCUCAAUUCUUGUGAAUUCUUGUGACCUGAGUCAUACCAUUAGACUAAGCAAAU
rnacentral:tRNA from 1 species